UUAUGAUGUCCUUAAUAGUGGACCAUAAUUGCUGAGUGGUAAUUGGUGAAGGCGUGAUUACACAUUUAGCUUUCAGAACAACUGUGAACAUUCCCUUAACGAUUAUUAACGUCUUUAUUUGUUAAGUUGUGUAUGAUAAAUUGUAUGGAAUAUGGGUUGAAUUGUGCAGGUUGUUCAUCAUUAUUUAACAAGAAAUCUACGUAAUUGUCGGCACUAAACGUCGAUAUAGGAUGAAAUAAUGAUAUGAACCGGGAUUCAGAUGUGACAUUGAUAAGUGUGUGCGAGUGCUUGAUGUGUGUAAAUGGGGUUACCUUAGUGAGGGUUUAGGUAUUGAUGCUAUCCCAAACAAAACAGCAGAUUGGAUAGGGGUUGUUAGUUAUGUGAGGAGUACAUUGCAAGGCCAAGCAUAGCCUUGCUGAAAAGGCCAUCGUCAUCUCUGAUUCAGAGGUGGAGGCGGAAGCUCCGGUCGAAGUUAUACCGUAGUCUCGGCAGGCGGAGGGUGCUGAUAGUUCGGCUCUCCUCCGAGGUUGAGGACUCCGGUUGAAUGUUAGGCAGUGUGGAUGGCAAGGAGGUGAGGGUGACGUGGGUGUUGGCUCCAACCGGAGAGGACACAAGACUCAGUCUCUCAGAGAUGGAGGUGGAUAUUUCGGUUGGAUGAUGAGGUGGAGGUGAGAGAGAUGGCCGUAGUCCCAGAAUCUGGGAGGGUCCAGUUUGAGGAGGAUAUGCAGGUGGUGGGAAGAUGGUGUGGUCUGAGAGUGGGGGUGCCUAGAAAUGCGGCGCCGUCCGCAUUGGGUUGUCACUUUCACUGGAGCCACACAUUAAGUAAUCGGUCAUGAGGGCCCAGUGGGCUCGUACACCGGCAGGGGGGGAACUAGAGUGGUGUAUAGAUUGGUGUGGUUUUGACCAGAUUUCUGGUGGGUCAUGUGGGGGAAGGGCUAUGAGCUGUGUGGUGUAAUAUAUGGUGUAACCUGGGGACGGGCAGCUCAGUGGGUGGGAAUAAAUAAUUUUGAUAUUCUCCUGAUGACUUAAAUGCCUUAGAUUUGGUUAUGUAUUAAAAAAUUAUAAGGUUAAACCUUAGACGGGGAUUGGAAAGCUAAAUUGGGCUAGGGAGGGGGGCUUGUUAGAACGGGGAGGAGUGUGGUGGAGACCGGUUUGACUUGGCCGUUCGGACCCCAAAUGCGGUGACUUCUGGGAAAUGGUCUUCAGUUCCGGUUCUGCUAUUCCUAGACGACUGUGUUGUAUUACGUUCUCCUUGGAAAUCCAAGAUGUCCUGGGUGAUCCUCAGUUCGAGUGAUCCAAGCCAGCGACAGAGCUAUGAAUACCUCAGGAAGAUUAUUCGAGCUAAGAAGAAAGGGUUUAAAGGGAUCUUUUCACGCUUUGCUAUGCCGUUCAUGCCAUCUUAUCGAGAUCUGAUAUUUCUGGCUGUGGAUUAUGGAAAAUAAGACAUUGCUUUCUAUCUGGCCAACACUGGUGCUGACUUGAUCAGCAAAGAAAAGUACGAGAAGACACAACCAGACAGCACAAAAGACGUGAAAUUGUACAACCCACCCGAGAGAGCAGAACACCUCGGCAUGACUGACCUGGCAGCAUUCCUUCAGGUCAAGUUGACCUAUCAACGAGAAAAGAGGCGACAGCAGACUCCACUCCUGCCUAAACGUGCCAUUCAGAAACACUUUGAUGUCAACGUCAAAGAGUUCGAGCGAUCCAAGUCGUGCGCGUUUGUCACUCAGUCGGUUGUGUGACUUCCUGGAUUCUCUACUUUGUGACAUUUUGAGUGCCCAACUUAACUUACAAUAUACUGAUUUUAUACCAUGAUAUAAAUUGGUGCUCAUAGGAAUUUUUACAUGGCUUAUCGUAUAUUGUGUAAUAUUGCCUAACUUUUAUUCUUCAGCGAACUUGUUUGUGACUGAGUGCUUUUAUUCUACACCCCAUGGCCUCUAAAAUACUAUGUUUGUCACGUUUGUGUUCUUUAAAGUCAUAACCCCCAAGGUUAGACAGGGUGA